AGGGUUUGAUCAUGGCUCAGGAUGAACGCUGGCGGCGUGCUUAACACAUGCAAGUCGAACGAACCUUCGGGUUAGUGGCGGACGGGUGAGUAACGCGUGAGAAUCUGCCCUCAGGAGGGGGAUAACGGUUGGAAACGACCGCUAAUACCCCAUAUGCCUAUUGGUGAAAUGAAUUUCGCCUGAGGAUGAGCUCGCGUCUGAUUAGCUAGUUGGUGAGGUAAUGGCUCACCAAGGCUUCGAUCAGUAGCUGGUCUGAGAGGAUGAUCAGCCACACUGGGACUGAGACACGGCCCAGACUCCUACGGGAGGCAGCAGUGGGGAAUUUUCCGCAAUGGGCGAAAGCCUGACGGAGCAACGCCGCGUGAGGGACGAAGGCCUCUGGGCUGUAAACCUCUUUUCUCAAGGAAGAAGAUAUGACGGUACUUGAGGAAUAAGCCACGGCUAAUUCCGUGCCAGCAGCCGCGGUAAUACGGGAGUGGCAAGCGUUAUCCGGAAUUAUUGGGCGUAAAGCGUCCGCAGGCGGCUUUUCAAGUCUGCUGUUAAAACGUGGAGCUUAACUCCAUCAUGGCAGUGGAAACUGAAAGGCUUGAGUAUGGUAGGGGCAGAGGGAAUUCCCGGUGUAGCGGUGAAAUGCGUAGAUAUCGGGAAGAACACCAGUGGCGAAGGCGCUCUGCUGGGCCAUUACUGACGCUCAUGGACGAAAGCCAGGGGAGCGAAAGGGAUUAGAUACCCCUGUAGUCCUGGCCGUAAACGAUGAACACUAGGUGUCGGGGGAAUCGACCCCUUCGGUGUCGUAGCUAACGCGUUAAGUGUUCCGCCUGGGGAGUACGCACGCAAGUGUGAAACUCAAAGGAAUUGACAGGGGCCCGCACAAGCGGUGGAGUAUGUGGUUUAAUUCGAUGCAACGCGAGACCUUACCAGGGUUUGACAUCCUGCGAACCUCUUAGAAAUUUGAGGUGGUGCCUUCGGGAAUGCAGUGACAGGUGGUGCAUGGCUGUCGUCAGCUCGUGUCGUGAGAUGUUGGGUUAAGUCCCGCAACGAGCGCAACCCACGUUUUUAGUUGCCAGCAUUUAGUUGGGCACUCUAGAAAGACCGCCGGUGAUAAACCGGAGGAAGGUGUGGAUGACGUCAAGUCAUCAUGCCCCUUACACCCUGGGCUACACACGUACUACAAUGCUACGGACAAAGGGCAGCAAACUCGCGAGAGCUAGCAAAUCCCAUAAACCGUGGCUCAGUUCAGAUCGUAGGCUGCAACUCGCCUACGUGAAGUAGGAAUCGCUAGUAAUCGCAGGUCAGCAUACUGCGGUGAAUACGUUCCCGGGCCUUGUACACACCGCCCGUCACACCAUGGAAGUUGGCCAUGCCCGAAGUCGUUACUCCAACCCUUGUGGAGGAGGACGCCGAAGGUGGGGCUAAUGACUGGGGUGAAGUCGUAACAAGGUAGCCGUA
rnacentral:rRNA from 1 species